rnacentral:rRNA from 1 species
UACGUAGGUGGCAAGCGUUACCCGGAUUUACUGGGCGUAAAGAGCGCGCAGGCGGUCGUUCAAGUCGCGUGUGAAAGCCCCCGGCUCAACUGGGGAGGGUCACGCGAUACUGAUCGACUCGAAGGCAGGAGAGGGUAGUGGAAUUCCCGGUGUAGUGGUGAAAUGCGUAGAUAUCGGGAGGAACACCAGUGGCGAAGGCGACUACCUGGCCUGUUCUUGACGCUGAGGCGCGAAAGCUAGGGGAGCAAACGGG